rnacentral:lncRNA from 1 species
GUCACUGGAUGUAAGAGACUUUUCAGGGCUUAAAAAUAAGCCGAUACGGUUUGCACAAGAAUUAUUAAAAGUUUUCCCUAGGUAUUUGUCGAAUUACCACUAGAUGUAUUAUUAUCUAUGGAGCAAACCUUAUUUCGAACCCAGAACAAGAAAAAAGAUCUUUGUAAGAAAUCGGAGGCUUGUCUGAGUGCAGUGGUAUUUACAACUAAUUGAUCACAAAUUACAGAUUUCUUUGUUCUUUCUCCACUCCCACUGCUUCAAUUGACUAGCCUAAAAGGAGAAGAAACAGCUAUUUUACUUCUUAAUUAUUAAAUAAAUUUAUACAAGCAUUUUCCUCCAACGUAGCAACAAAAGUAUCUUUUCAAAGCUUCCCUUGUUUACUAUCUAGACACUUAAAUGCAGUCGUAUUUGAAUUUUCUUAAUUCGGAACACUUGGAAAAUUAUCUAAGGGCACUUACAAAACUAAAGAAACUUAAGUAGAACAUAGCAGCUCAAUUAAAUGCUAAAGUAAAAAUGAAUAAGUUUUUGCAAUGAGAAAACAUUUUUGGUGAUCAUAUGUUAAAAUAGAAAACAUGUCUUAAAAACUGAAUCCUUCAUCAAGAUGAACAUUUCUCCAAUAUUGUCUUUGCGGGGGGAGGGGAACUUUGCAAUAGAACGUGGAUCCUGUUCAUGUUUACCUACGAUUGAAUUUGCCAGAAUUCGGUGUUACGUAUGCAGUUAUGCACGAAACAGCUUGCUCUGAGUUCAACAGGGAAUACAGGCCCCUGGUUCUUCUCAGUGUUUGGGAAGGAGAGUGGCCCAAGUUUGGAAGAAGCAGCCAAUUCUCUGACGAGGAAUUGGGAGUCAAGGAUUCCCCGGGGAAAAUUGUUUGUAUUUUUGUUCUUUAAGCUGCAUCAGGCUGGGCGUGGUGGCUCACACCUGUAAUCACAGCACUUUGGGAGGCCAAAGCAGGAGGAUCACCUGAGGUAGAGAGUUCGAGACCAUCCGACCAACAUGGAGAAACUCUGUCUCUAACAAAAUGCAAAAUUAGCUGGACGUGGUGGCACAUGCCUGUAAUCCCAGCUACUCAGGACUGAGGCAGGAGAAUUGCUUGAAGCUGGGAGGCAGAGGUUAUAGUGAACCAAGAUAGCACCAUUGCACUCCAGACUGGUCAACAAGAGCCAGACUUCAUCUCAAAAAAUAAACAACCACAACCACAAAAAACAGAUGCAUCAUUAGGUUAUUUAUUUGAUAUUUUUCUUCUUUUUUGAUGUAGGCACUUACAGCUAUAACUUUCCCUUUUAGUACUGCUUUUUCUGUAUCCCAUAGUUUUGGCAUGCUGUGUUUCCCUUAUCAUUUGUUGUAAGAAAUUUUUCAUUUUUUCCUUAAUUUCUUUGUUGAUCCACUGGUCAUUCAGAAGUACAUUCAUUACCAUGUGUUUUUAUAGUCCCCAAAAUUCUUCUUCUUGUUGACUUCCAGUUUUGUUCCAUUGUGGUAAGAGAAGAUGCUUUAUAUUAUUUACAUGUUUUUGAAUGUUUUAAGACUUGUUUUGUUUCUUAACACAUAGUCUAUCUUUGAGAAUAAUCCCUGUGCUGAGGGGGGACAAAGAUAUGUAUUCUGCGGCAGUUGGAUGAAAUGCCCUGUGAAUACCUAUUCGUUUCUUUUGUUGUGUAGUGCAGGUUAAGUCUGAUGCUUCUUGGCUGAUUUUCUGUCUGGAAGAUCUGUUCAAUGCUGAAAGUGGGUGUGUUAUUAUUGUAUUGGGGUCUAUCUCUCUCUCCAGCUAUUAUUGUAUUGGGGUCUAUCUCUCUCUUCAGCUCUAAUAAUAUUUGCUUUAUAUAUCUGGGUACUCCAGUGUUGGGUGUAUAUAUGUUUACAAUUGUUAUAUCCUCUUGCUGAAUUGUGGGGAGGAAACCCCACAAGAGACGAGGCAAGGGUCUGAAGCCUCAGCAUGUUCUCAUAUAAACAUAGAAGAGAAUUAGAGAUAUAAUUACAUUGUUAUUCCUAUAUAUAAUCAUAAAUAACCACAUAGCUAUUCAUAUGUAAUCAUAACUAUAUACAUAUAUAAUCAUAUAAAUAAUCACAUAGCUAUUCAUAUGUAAUCAAAUACAUAUAUAUAAUCAUAUAAUCUUUAAUCUUACUAAUAAGUCUCAGAUCAAGAAUCAUGGGACUAAAGUGGCAUUG